CUGGCAGAUGGGUGAAGAGAACAAAGAAGAAGGAAAAAAAGAAGAGGAGAAGAAAGAGGAAGGAGGCACAGAAGAGAAGAAGAAAAGAAAGAAGAGGAGAAGAAAGCUGAAGAGCCUCAGGAGAUCGUUCUCAAAGUUGAUAUGCAUUGUGAGGCUUGUGCUCGGAAGGUCGGCAGAGCCCUACAAGGAUUUCAAGGUCUAGCCCCAUUUCA